AUUGAACGCUGGCGGCAUGCCUUACACAUGCAAGUCGAACGGCAGCGGGGACUUCGGUCCGCCGGCGAGUGGCGAACGGGUGAGUAAUAUAUCGGAACGUACCUUUCAGUGGGGGAUAACGUAGCGAAAGUUACGCUAAUACCGCAUAUUCUGUGAGCAGGAAAGCAGGGGAUCUUCGGACCUUGCGCUGAUUGAGCGGCCGAUAUCAGAUUAGCUAGUUGGUGAGGUAAAGGCUCACCAAGGCGACGAUCUGUAGCGGGUCUGAGAGGAUGAUCCGCCACACUGGAACUGAGACACGGUCCAGACUCCUACGGGAGGCAGCAGUGGGGAAUUUUGGACAAUGGGGGCAACCCUGAUCCAGCCAUGCCGCG
rnacentral:rRNA from 1 species